AGUAGCAAAUCCUUGACCUGGAGGCCACUGGGGAAUUGGAGCAGGCAAAGAGAAAGGUUGAGGCUCAGGUGAGUAGAAAUCAAUAACUUGGCUCCAGUAAAAACAAUCACACCCAAACAUCCUUACAAGUCUCUAACUAAAAAGAAUCAAAGAGCCACCAAAACCAAAAAAUUCUUUUUCCAAAUGCCUGUUGCAAUUUCAAAGAAAACCCAGAGAGAGAGAGAGAGAGAGAGAGAGAGUAAAGAAGGCUUAUUUAUUUCCCUUUACCACCCUCUCUCAAUGAAUCUGCAUUUAUUUAUAAACCAG
rnacentral:misc_RNA from 1 species